AUUGAACGCUGGCGGCAGGCCUAACACAUGCAAGUCGAACGGUAACAGGAAGAAGCUUGCUUCUUUGCUGACGAGUGGCGGACGGGUGAGUAAUGUCUGGGAAACUGCCUGAUGGAGGGGGAUAACUACUGGAAACGGUAGCUAAUACCGCAUAACGUCGCAAGACCAAAAAGGGGGACCUUCGGGCCUCUUGCCAUCGGAUGUGCCCAGAUGGGAUUAGCUAGUAGGUGGGGUAACGGCUCACCUAGGCGACGAUCCCUAGCUGGUCUGAGAGGAUGACCGGCCACACUGGAACUGAGACACGGUCCAGACUCCUACGGGAGGCAGCAGUGGGGAAUAUUGCACAAUGGGCGCAAGCCUGAUGCAGCCAUGCCGCGUGUAUGAAGAAGGCCUUCGGGUUGUAAAGUACUUUCAGCGGGGAGGAAGGGAGUAAAGUUAAUACCUUUGCUCAUUGACGUUACCCGCAGAAGAAGCACCGGCUAACUCCGUG
rnacentral:rRNA from 1 species